GGCGAACGGGUGAGUAACACGUGAGUAACCUGCCCUUGACUCUAGGAUAAGCCCGGGAAACUGGGUCUAAUACUGGAUAGGAACGUCUACCGCAUGGUGGAUGUUGGAAAGAAUUUCGGUCAUGGAUGGACUCGCGGCCUAUCAGCUUGUUGGUGAGGUAAUGGCUCACCAAGGCGACGACGGGUAGCCGGCCUGAGAGGGUGACCGGCCACACUGGGACUGAGACACGGCCCAGACUCCUACGGGAGGCAGCAGUGGGGAAUAUUGCACAAUGGGCGAAAGCCUGAUGCAGCGACGCCGCGUGAGGGAUGACGGCCUUCGGGUUGUAAACCUCUUUCAGUAGGGAAGAAGCGAAAGUGACGGUACCUGCAGAAGAAGCACCGGCUAACUACGUGCCAGCAGCCGCGGUAAUACGUAGGGUGCGAGCGUUAUCCGGAAUUAUUGGGCGUAAAGAGCUCGUAGGCGGUUUGUCGCGUCUGUCGUGAAAGUCCGGGGCUUAACCCCGGAUCUGCGGUGGGUACGGGCAGACUAGAGUGCAGUAGGGGAGACUGGAAUUCCUGGUGUAGCGGUGGAAUGCGCAGAUAUCAGGAGGAACACCGAUGGCGAAGGCAGGUCUCUGGGCUGUAACUGACGCUGAGGAGCGAAAGCAUGGGGAGCGAACAGGAUUAGAUACCCUGGUAGUCCAUGCCGUAAACGUUGGGCACUAGGUGUGGGGAACAUUCCACGUUUUCCGCGCCGCAGCUAACGCAUUAAGUGCCCCGCC
rnacentral:rRNA from 3 species